rnacentral:rRNA from 3 species
GACGAAGGGGGCUAGCGUUGUUCGGAAUUACUGGGCGUAAAGCGCGUGUAGGCGGUUUUCCAAGUUGGGUGUGAAAGCCUUGGGCUUAACCCAAGAAAUGCACUCAGUACUGGAAGACUAGAGGACCGGAGAGGAUAGUGGAAUUCCCAGUGUAGUGGUGAAAUACGUAGAGAUUGGGAAGAACACCAGUGGCGAAGGCGGCUAUCUGGACGGUUUCUGACGCUAAGACGCGAAAGCGUGGGGAGCAAACAGG